UCUGCAGGCUGAGACAUGAGCCUCUCCUGCUGAACGAAAUCGAUGCAGAACUGAGCAGACCAGUGUUAUCCUCCAGCAUCUCCCCUCCCCUCAGUAUUCUGAUCCUCUGUCUGUCACCCGGUUUGUGAGCAGCCAU